UUGGUCUAAUCCAUGUCAUAUCAAAAAAAAAAUUGUGCUUCUAUCCUCUCCUUCAUUAUUCAGUCCAGUUUCUCUCUCCCCCUGUUCUAGUUUUUCGCCGGCGAGAAGAAUUUUGCCUUCAAUAACUUUACCUUCUUCAAUCAAUUCAGUAGGGGGAGAAAGGGGUUAUUGAUGCUCGCGAUUCUCUAUCUCUCUUUGUAUCACGUCACGUUCGCUCUCGACGGCCUCCAAACUCUAUGUUCUUCUCCAAUUCUCCGUUUUCAAUUCUUGACUCUUUUGUUUCUUUUGCUGCUUGCUAGCUUUGGAGGAGCAGGCCUUAACCAAGUUUUCUUCAAAAUAUUUGUUGCUUCCAUCUGUGUUGUCACUGGCAAAGUCUGAUUCAGAGUUGUCCUCAUCCACUUCAUCCCCCCAAAACUUCUUCAGAACCUGAAUACUUUUGUUGGCAGCUGCACUAUGAAAGAUUUGGACAUAAGGGGUUGUGGGAGGUCGCUUAUCCAUGCCCAAAAACUCAUAAUUGGAGGUGAUAGGAAUAGGGAAACAAGCUGGUGUCAACACAGGAGUAGCUGCCCAAUUAGCAACUAAAGCUGGAUCGAAAGCCUUAGGGGCAGACACAGAAGUAACACUAUUGUUUAAGGGCCUGGUUUCCGAAGAACAAGGUGCCUUAAAACAUGUGUCAGUCAACAAACAGGCAGUCUUUAAAGGAACAUCCAAUAUUCCCAUCUGGUUAGAAGCUAACUCUAAAGGAGCAUCCAAACUUUCCAUCCGGGUAUCAACCAACUGCUCUGCAGUGGAAGCAUAAAUGGUCAUAUCAGCCUCCCCAUGAUUGGCCUCAGAAUCAGAUGACAACAGUUCAAAAAAGUUUUGCAAAAGCGCAGAAUUUCCAAUCCCUGUGUUCCCAUUAUCAAACUGAGGUGUUGUAUGUGCAUUUGUAACUGCUAAUCCACGAGUGGUUUCAUUCUCAACUGUCAGCAGAUCAACAGAGUUGUGCAGUAGUGCAGAUUUGUUGAUCCUUGCGUUCCCAUUUGCAAAUUCAGUUGUUGUGUGUGCAUUUGUAGAACAGAAAAACUUCUCCUUUUCCAAUUGCACUUGAUGCUCCUCUAACGCUCCUUCAGACUCAUGUUUCUUGUUUUUCAUGUUCUUAGUACCAUCAAUAUUCGACUUAGCAUGCUGAGAUUGAAAUUUGGAUGCUUCUCAUAUUCAACUUUCACAGGAAAAGCAAGGCCUUCCCUUCUCAUAUAUGCUUUAGUUAAUUGUUACGUCUCAGGCAAGAAUGUAAGUCAAAGUAUAUUACUAAAGUCAACAAGAAGCUUAACAAACUUCAAAGGUCUGAAUGUCAGAAAACACCAUUUAAAUGAAGGUGUCGAGGAGGACGUCUCCAUGGAUGAGAUUGAAAGGGUUGUUGAAAGGGAGGUGGCAAAUGUAUCAGAUGAUGAAGCACAUCAUGCAUCAAAUUUGUUGACUAUAAUUAAGGACAAGCCAAGAAACCGUGUAAAAAGUGGAUUUCUGCAUUCAUCGCGGGUGAAGGAUGGACGCAUAAAGAAGAUGAUUUAAAUUAGUGUAGUGUUUUGAUAUGAUUGUAAUGUAGAAUUUUUUUGAUGCUAUUUUUUAAUUAGUAGGACCAUGUCGCAUCUGUAAUAUUAAUGGAAACACCAUAUGUUGUUAGUUACUAACAUUGUUGAACUAUCCUGCAGUUUAAUGAGUCACUCUACAUGUUAUGUAAUAUAUAUUGUUUUUUGGGA